UAUCUACUCCCUUCGUUCCGAAUUACUUGUCGUAAGUAUGGAUGUAUCUAGAUGUACUUUAGUUCUAGAUACAUUCAUUUCUGCGACGAGUAAUUUAGAACAGAGGGAGUAGUAG
rfam:Triticum urartu cultivar G1812 contig615902, whole genome shotgun sequence.